GCCUCCAGAGGCAGGCUCGCAAAUGCGAAAAGGACGAAAAAACCGAGAAAUUGAAGGUAAAAAAGGCAAUCGAAAAGGGGAACAUGGACGGCGCGAGAAUCUACGCCGAAAACUCCAUUAGGAAACGCAACGAACAGAUGAACUACCUCCGGCUUGCCUCACGGCUCGACGCCGUGGUGGCGCGGCUCGACACCCAAGCCAAGAUGACUACGAUUAGCAAGUCCAUGGGUAAUAUUGUUAAAUCGCUCGAGUCCUCCCUAGCUACUGGCAAUUUGCAGAAGAUGUCUGAAACUAUGGACCGAUUUGAACAACAGUUCGUGAACAUGGAGGUGCAGGCUGAGUUCAUGGAAAGCUCGAUGGCUGGAAGUACUUCGCUUUCGACUCCAGAAGGUGACGUUAAUAGUCUUAUGCAGCAAGUGGCGGAUGAUUACGGUCUCGAGGUGUCCGUGGGUCUGCCCCAGCCAGCUGCUCAUGCAAUUGCGACCAAAAGCGAUGAAAAGGUGGACGAGGAUGAUCUUUCGAGGCGCCUUGCAGAGCUCAAGGCCCGCGGGUAAAGUUUGAAUAUUUUUCUGAAAUUGGGGAGAAUUUGGAGCUCUGGACUCCUGAUUACUGAUAAUAUGUGAUAAUACUAGAUUUAAUGCCUAAAUCAUAUUAUCUCUUGCAUUGGUCAAGGUUUUAUUGUGUAAAUUUGACUAUAUCAUGAUUGUGGACAUGUGACUUUAUGCUUAAAUGUUAUGAUGGAGUGUUCCUUCUGCUUUUGUAUUUUGUGCAAGGAAAUGUUUUUCUUUGAUCGACAGUAGAACACUGCUCCAUUUUGAUAUAUUGGGUCGAACGCUUUUGAUGACCAUAGCAUGUGGCACACCUGAUAAUUUGUGCCUGCAGAAAUGACUAUUAACAUGUACGUAGAUAGAAAUUACGACAUUUUCAAUUUGUGCGAGUUAUUUUGGCUUUGGCAUUCUCAAACAAGAAAAAAAUAAAAAAUUGGAACAUAAUUGUCGGCUUGAGUUGAUUUUGCAUAGAGUUUUGCUCCUUCAUUUGUUUGUCUGUGCUUCUCUCUCUCUCUCUCUCUCUCUGUGCUCACGCGUGUGUUUUCAAGAACACUUUGCUGUAUUGCUGAAGGCCGUUAUAUCUUACUUACCAUAUGAAGAUUUUAAGUUAGCAAUCUGCUCAGUUUCUGGGGGCCUAAAUAUCUCUGCCAUCCGAUUUGGAUGAGCAAGAUAUUAAUGUUGAUUUUAGACAAACAAUACGCAGAACAAUAAUUCAAUUCUGUUCCCUGCCAUAGCCUAUUUUUAAGGUCAUGAUGAACUUAGUCUAUCCUGACCCGAUUGAAUUUGACUUCUUAUCAUGGAGGCAAUGGCAACUAAAUCCACUGCAUCACCACCAGAGUCUAUAUAUCCUUUCUUCUUUUGUUUCUCUUAUUCUGCAUCUCAAUCCUUAACUGGUGUAGCCAAAGUACUAUGCAAUGUAUUUCUAGAUAACCCCACCUCCACCCCCAACAAGCUGAGGACCUUUUUAUCCAGCUUUAAUGUAAUUCUAUCAGGGCUAGAUCUCGAAAUCUGAUUGCAGUUACCAAGUCAAAAUUUUCUGUUCAACAGACCAAGUUAAGAAGCACUUCUAAUGUUCUGCGUGGCAAGUGAGAGUUGAUGAAACAGAAAGAAUGGAAGGAAUGAACUGGUGUGAAAGAUGGACCCAUGAUCUUAUAUGUUAAUUGCCAAUAGAUAAUCUGGGGCUUAUGGUCUUCAUUCACAUCUUGAACAUGAGAGUGGUUAAUCAAAAAACUAAAUGCAUGCCCUACAUGCUAACAGUUUAUUGACAUUUGAUGAAUACACUUUGGAAAUAGGGUAAUUCGUUGGUAUACUAUAUCUAUAUGUAUUUUAGAACUUCUUAUUGUAUAGACUAUCUAUAUUUGAAGUGCUUGUUAUAUUUUGCCUUUAGAAGUGAUGCUUUUGAUCACUGGUUCCUUCAUAAAGUUUGAUUUAUGAUUUUGAUAAAUUGUAUGGAUGGAAGACUAUAAUUUGGGGCCGGGCCGAAAUUUAAAUUAUUAUCUGUCAGUUGGGAGAUUUCAAAAUCUUCUGUGAAAAAGUUAAAACUUUCUUACAGAUCGAAGUCUUUUAUAAGUUACGAGGUUUCUCUUGCAUAAAAUCUUUACCAUGCAGCACUUGUUACUAAGAUAUAAUUGUCUAUCCUGCAGUGACUUCUAAUCUGCCCCAAUCAAACAAUUCCCUUAAGGACAAAUCUGGAUAUCAGAAAUUUGGUUUUUCUCUGUUUUCAUAUCUCCCACUUCUCAUCUUUCUAGUGCUUAGCCCGUCUAUAGCAUACCUAUAUGCUCCUUUUAUUAUGCUGUUUAUAUAUGAUGCUUUUAAACAGUAGUAGUUUAAGUAGAUCGUGUUUAAUCUGGCUACUCUUUCUCCUUUAAAGUUCUGGUAUCAAGAAUUGUGGAUUUUGCGAUGUACCCAGUAUCUGUUAUCUGCAGUAUUGUUUGGUAAUGGGAUUGUCUUGUGAUACUUGGUGGUUCUUUUUUUCUAUGACAAGUAGCAGUUCAUGAAGUUGUUCACUCCAUGUCGUCAUAGAUUCUACGACAAUGUCACGAAGAAUUCUCACCCGUUUACAAGCAAAUUUUUUCCGUCAUAUGGGACAAUAGGAGACUGACAUUUCGCACUAGAAUGAUUCCCUGCAUACUGGGAAUUAUUCGCACCUGUAUGGUGCAUUUUCUUUUAUUAUUGUGCCGAAAAUUUAUGAAAAACUUCCGAGUGUUCCUCUGUGAAAAUUUUGUCAAGCAUUUUGUCCCUAUAGCAUAACUAUUCUCACCACUAGUAAUAAAUUUCAUACUUACCUACAGGAACUAGUCUUUCUACCCGUCCAUGAUGUCUAUCUGGCUAAAUUUUUUCUGUUUCUUCGGGUUUAAUUGAACUCGUGAUCAUGGUUUCUCUUCUCAAUAACCCUUUAUUUCUAACUAGUACAUUGUACUGUGAAAGUGUGAAGCAAUCAACAUAUUUUGUAAUGUACUAGUGCAAUGUUACAUUGCUAAAUUGUUACUAUGCUACUUUGGACGAUUUUCAUGCGUCCUACUCAAUGGAAGUAGAAAAGAAUCAAUAUUCUCAUGUAAUAUUUGCCACAUAAACGACUAUAUUUGCUGAAUAUGGUAUCUUCGCAAGCAACGAUAAAAUAUUUGUCGAAAGAAUUUUGUAAGAGGACUUUCACUCGCUCACUUUUCUUCUGUUAAAUAUUUUUUCCUUCAAAUCAUAAAAAUUGUUCUAUAAAAAAAACUAGAAAUAUAAAUGGAUUUGUAGCACCCACAUGAUAUUCCCAAAAAAAUAAAAAAUAAAUAGAGGGAAAAAAAGAGAGAGAGAAUCAAAAUCAUGUUAGUCAGACCUAAAAAGCAACAGUAGUUUCAUCAAGCAGACAUCAAUGCAAUAGCAGCAAAUUGUAACAAAAUGGCACAAAGCUCCUACGAACUACAAGUUCAUCUUUCAACCGUUUAAUUGGAUAAGAACCAGACGAACAUUAACAGAAGAAUUUUAAAAGUCAUCUUAACUCUAUUCUAACAGGUGGAAAACCAAAAUGUAGCAAUAGUCUUGUUUGAGUUUCCAAAUGAAAUGUUAUUUCAUAUACACCAAAGACAUACAAAUGAUUACCACCAGUGUCUUUCCCUGAGGACAUUUCAAGGAAAGCUUCGAGGACAUUCAAAGUUCUUCCAUGAUCUCGUAGCAAGGAAAUAAAUGUACAAAACCAUUCCCUGAGGACAUUUCAAGGAAAGCUUCGAGGACAUUCAUAGUUCUUCCAUGAUCUCAUAGCAAGCAAAUAAAUGUACAAAACCAAAGGGAAAUUGGAAGUCGUUCUUUGCUUACGCCAUGGCCCUAAAUUUAAUAAAAGUACCCCAGAACUUGACCACCUAAAUUUUGUCUAAUUGCCUCUUCAUGAUCCAAAACUCCAUUUGGUGUAGUAAUUACCACAUAGCCCCACUGCACGAAGAGAAGAACAGAGACAAGGUAAAUGGGUGUUCAAUGAACUUGAGCGUGUAAGGAAUUCCUCAAUGAAUCAUUAUCAAAAGACAACCACGACAGCUCAAGUGAAAAGAAAAAAUGGACACGAUACAAUGACAGUCUAAAAUUAGCUUCAUGGACUCCAUGUCUUACUCACAACAGAGUGGUAAAGCACUCCAAAUACUAAUUUUAAGAUUAAAAAAAAUAGUUCCGAGGUCUUAGGGGAGAGUACACAAAGCAUGACUCUCUAGCUUUUGAGCCAAAAUUAUGGUAAUUGUUGUUUCAAUAAUUAAAAAGAGGGAAUUAUACUUUGACGAAUAAUGUGACAAAGAAUCUCAAAUUUAUCUCCGUUUGUAACCUUAAGUUUUCAAAAAGUUAAAGUAUUGAAUUAACAUUAUCAUAAUUUGUGGUUGACAUGAACUAUGCAAUAAUAAGUAUAACUGAAAAUUACAAAGUUUAUUGUCUUACUGAUUUGCUCUGUAACCUUCUGCAAGUACACGACAACUAUUUAUAAAUGUAACAAAUUUAUAUAAUAAAGGUGAUGAAAGGAAACUAUAAAGCAAUACAUUUGAUCCGGAACAUGUUUGGGUGCUUGCUUAUUUUACUUAUAAGGAGAGGACAAAUAAAUUUCUGUUCCCUAUGAAUUGAUCUGGAAUUCCAUUUGCAUUCAUAUUUUUCGCAUAUGAGUUGAUCUAUAUUUAUUGACUGUCAAUUCUGGACGUCCAUUUACAUUCCGCUUGUACCCAUGAGUUUAUCUACACAACUUUACCAUCAAUUAUGAAAUCAAUUUAAAUUUGUGUUACCUGUAUGAAUUAAUCUACAUACAUUUACAUUUAUCGCAGUUUUCACAUUAAGUUCUCUUCACUGCUUAAGAGAAAAAUAGUAGAAGACGAAUAAAUUAAACGAUUUUAUGCUGAUCUUUCAUUAAAAUUAAAAUUUUGAACAAUGUAAGUCGACAUGUCCUUGCAACUUAGAUAUUCAUCAUUUAUGUAAUUUUAGGACAAUUUUCUUCUUGACUUACAAGAAAUAUGUAUACACCCAAACCAAUUAUUUUAUAUUCUAUAUUUACUAAUUCCCAUUAGUCGCCAUAAAGUUUAAACUCAAGGUAACAUAACAUGAUAUGCAUAGAUAUUUAUGGCAAGAGUUGUUUAACAUAGCAAUCGUAUAUGAAGCGCUGAGGUGUCAAAUAAAAUGUUGUCUGUACUUCUCCAUGAAGUCCCAACUACUAGUGCCUUAGUUUAAUAAAUUUCAAUAAGCUAGCCUUAAACUUCUGAAGACCGUGUUAUAGGGAGUACUUGCACUAUUUGCUGACACUGUAAGUAACCAGUCAGGUGGAUCAGUGUCUCAUAACUCACAAGCUCAAUCCUUCAAUGCAUGUGAAUUAUAAAAAGCAGGAGGAUAGACAAUUUUUGGCACAUUUAUAGCAUUAUCUUGAUCGGAACAUCUUAUUUUACUAUGUUCAACUCUACGUAUUCCUCUAUCCAUAGAGUAUAUUUAAAUUUGAAUAUACAGAAAUGGCUAUAACAGAGUUUCUCUUAUUUGUAUUAACAGCUUCUUUAAGAGGAAUGUAUUUAUGUAGUGCUAACGAUUUAAUAGCUAUCUUUGUAAUUUGAUACAUAAACUUGACAAUAAAAAGCCAAACAAUCUGUUUGACCAUCCAAUCACAUUCUACGACAAAAAAUUUAAAGGAUAAUACACCUAACCUAAUUAAUUACAACCAAAAGAUAGCACUAAGAUAGAGAAACCAUGACACUGCACAUUUGCAAACAUUAUUUAGAAUAGAUUAGUUUGAAUUUACAUAACACAAUUUAUCAUCAAUAAAAUUUUAGUGCAUCGACAAAAUAAGAUUUGGAAUUUUCUAACACGCCAUAUUUGGGCAUAUCUAGAGUUUUGCAGUAAAUUAAAUCGAACUUGUUCACGUUAGACUGAUGAUUCAACUCAAGAAAUACAACCAAAAUCCUCAAAAUUCUAAAUUAAACCACAGUUCACUACUUAUCAUCCCCCCUCCCAGAUCAGCCCCAACAACAAUCAGCACAAUAAAACCAAAGGCAAGAACAAUGAAUAGAGAACCUGAUGAGUAGGAAGCGUGUCUGUUUUGUAAUUCUUGAUGUUAUGAGCCUUGAUAUCCUGUCUAUAAGUGAUAGCCCGACAAUCAUUAAUCCUCCCCAGCAGCUCCACAGUUAUCCUCCCCACUCUAUGUGGAUCAUGCACUUGGAAAUCCUUGAUAUACCCUGCUAUUUAUCCAUCAGUGCACACUUCUUCGUUUGCCCAUCUUUUAGGAACAAGUAAAAAUCAAAACCCAUUUCGCUAUAAUUCAUCUUUGAGAUCAAUUAAAAAGACACAACACGGAUAAGCGAUUAUAUAUCCACCGUACAUAUAUGCACACUUUAUAUACAAACAAGCUUUAUAUAAUUUAAAAAAAAAAAAACUGCAAGAAAUUGUAAAAAAAUUAAUUCCAACCCAUUUGCUUAUAAACAAUUUUACAACAUGGUCAUUGAUUGAAAACAUCACAAAUCAAUGAACAUAUACAUAACAAAUACAUACAUAUAUAGAUGCACAUGUAUACGUGUACCUCGGUAUUUCAUGAUUUGAAGGAAAGAAGCCAUGACAUUAGAGAUGGGCUUAAGCUCCGCCGAAGCGAAGCCUCUCUUUUCGGCGUUGACGAUGGUUCUCAAGGCAUCGUUCAAUAUUCUUCUCCCCAUUUCGGCAAACCCUUUUUCUUCGUUUCUCGGGGCUACAUUUUUAAGGGCAUUUUAAAAUUGGCUUGAUCAAAUGAGUAAGCCCUUGUUUGAGUACAAUUUUUUUGAAAAAAAAAAUAUUUUUAAACAGUAUUUCGACAUUAUUUUAAUCACAUAUUUUUCAAUAAAAUAUUAUUACACGUAAAUUUAAAACUUUUCUUUAUUUUUAACCACACAUCUCAUAUCAUUACACUAUUUUAAAAUGUAUUUUCUUGGCAAAAAUAGAGUUCAAAUUAUACAAAAAUUUACUCUUCAGAAGUAAGAAUAUAAUUUAUACUCAGUUGUAUGUAAUUAUACUCUUCGAGAGCAAACAAAAUCUCGUUAGAAUAUUAAUGAAAAUUAUAAUGUGCUAUUUCAAUAUUUUAGUAUAUUUUACUAAUACUUCAAGAAAAAUAAAUCAAUAUUCUUUUGAAAUAUGAAGAAUUUUAAUGGUAUGCUCUUCAAGAGGAAUAGCAUAUUAUUGCUAUAGAAGAGUAUAAUGAUAUAAAAUCUAACCAGAAUGUCAAUAUUUAAAUACGUUUAAAGAAGAAUGGACGCAUAAAUAAAUAGUGUAAUUUAAUUCGUUAUUUUAUAUAGAAUUAAUCAAUAACUUCAGGAAUAUUGAAAUUAUAAUAUCAUGUUCUUUUGGAGCAAUCAAUAUUCUUUUUUAAAAUAUUAAUAACGUCGUGUUUUUUAGGAAUAUCAAUACAUUUUUUUAAUAUUAAUUUGUGCUUUCUUCAGGAGCACAACGAGACAUAUAACUUUCAAGAGUAUAAAUAAAAUAUUCUUCUGGAAUAUUGAUAUUAACAACUCGUUCUAUUUUUGAGCUAAACAAUAUAAUAUUAAAAUUUGUACUCUACAUAAGUACGAAUGAAAUAUUUUUCUGGAAUAUUUAUAUAAUAUGGGUUGUGUUUCUUUAAGAACAUCAACACUAUAUUUGUUAAAAAUAAAUAUAAUUUAAAUUACGAUUCUUCAAGAACAUUGAAUCAAUAUUCUUCUAAAAUAUUGAAAUCGUAACAUCAUGCUCUUUAUAAGCAAAUAAUAUUCUUUUAAAAUAUUAAUAAUGUUGUGCUACUUCAAGAGCAACUAUUUAUAAUAGAUAGAUAUACAAUUAAUACUUUUUUGGAAUAUUAAUUAUAAUGUUUUGCUACUUUUGGAGCAACAACAUAAUAAAUUAUGAAUUUAAAACUUAUAAAAUAAUAUCUAAAAAUAUUUAAUUGCCAUAUAAACAUGAUAUGAAUUUAUAUAGAAAAAUUAAUUACUAAAUAUGCAUUAGGAAAAAAAUCUCCAUACAUAGAAGUUAAUAAAAUUGGCUAAAUUUUUUCCAACAUGCAAAAGAUAUUAAACAUGCAUAUAAAUUCCACAUAUACAAAAAUCAAAUGUAGAACUAAUAUGUGGAAGACUCAAAAAACAAAAUUAAUAUGUGAAUAAUAUUUGACAAAAUUAGUUAUACAUGAAUCAAAAGACAUGAAUUAAUAUAUGUAUAAAUUAUACAUACAAACGUAAAUUAAAAUUAAUAUGCAUACCAACGAAAGGUAAAGAAGAAUAAGCAACCUAGUUAUGAUGUAUAUGUACAUUGAAAGAAUUCACAUGCCACUAAAUUAAUUUUAGUAUAUGUGAUAAAUAUUUAUACUUAUAAAAAAUAUUACCACAUUUACUAAACUUUGAAAAAUUAAACUAUUGUGCUGAUAACGUGUUGUGAAAAGAGAAGAGAAUAGAGAGAAGUCAAUAAAUUUGUGUGUGUUUUUAUUAAAAACCAAAGUCCUAAUAAGAAUUAUGGAUACAAUGGUAAUAAAUUCUAGAGCUGCAGGGGUGAAAUUAUCAUUCACUAACAAACCCUAAUAAACUUACCAUUUACAACAUAAUAAAUAUUUUAAAUUCUUCAAGUAAAAACAUAAUUGCAAUCUAAUACUGAAUCACCUAAAUUUCGGUUCAAUACUCGAGGAUUUAUUUACACCUUCUAAUGCUAAAACGCUUUAGGCCGCCCAUAGGUAUAUAUCACACGGGGGAGAAAAAACGCUCCACAAACUACUAAAGUCGUUAAAAACGAAUCAAAUUUCGAAGAAAAAGGGAAGGAGGUUAAUUGUAAUUUCGGUCAUUGAACUUAUAUUGAAAUCCUGAUUGGGUAAAUCAAAUUCAAUUUGCUCGAGAUUAAAUAAUUGAACUUCAAUAUAUCUUAUUAGUCCUUCCAAUGACUCUAUUACUAAAAUAAAUACACAUUUGAUUUAUACGUUGAUUUUAUAACAUAAAGAAUCAUUCACGCGUCUUAAAUUCUUAAAAUCAGAAGAUGAAGGGUUCUAAAGUGUACAUAAUCAUUAUUUUUUAUUAGCAAGUUUAAAUCCACAACUCACCCAAACUCGAAAUUCAUAUUGAGAAAAUGGUAGGGUUCUUGCCCUUUCAGCUAUUUUCACAAAAUGGUCUCCAAAAUUUUGUCCACACAACCUCCCUAAACAAAUAGGAUGAAUCGGUUAGUUAGGAAUUGUAAACUACCUUCGUCCCGACCACUAGAGAAAAAGACGAAGAUAGGAAACAAGGUCCCCACCGCGACUCUUAUUUCCUCUUUUGUAAUUUUUCAUGUGUUUAAAUUUAUACUAUGUUUUAUUAAAAUGAACAAGAACAAGUAAAUAGGGCGGGAAAUCCCAUCCCAGCUCUGCCGUCCCCUUCGCCAUCUUAGCUUGAGUUAACCCGAUGGCUAACAUUUUAACAUUAUUGAACUUUAGUGACUUGAAUGCAAAUAAUUAAAAUAAAUAAUUCAAUUGAAAUUUCUAUGAAAGUUCGAUAACCAAAAUUGAAAUUAAUAAAUGGAACCCUAUUGUUUGCCAACCCCAAAUUGAUCGCAGACAAUUCAGCUCUCUCUGUAAAAAUUCUCUGCAAAAUCGAAUAUGGGUAACACUGAGAAACUGAUGAAUCAGAUCAUGGAUCUGAAAUUCACCUCGAAGAGCCUCCAGAGGCAGGCUCGCAAAUGCGAAAAGGACGAAAAAACCGAGAAAUUGAAGGUCAAAAAGGCAAUCGAAAAGGGGAACAUGGACGGGGCGAGAAUCUACGCCGAAAACUCCAUUAGGAAACGCAACGAACAGAUGAACUACCUCCGGCUUGCCUCACGGCUCGACGCCGUGGUGGCCCGGCUCGACACCCAAGCCAAGAUGACUACGAUUAGCAAGUCCAUGGGUAAUAUUGUUAAAUCGCUCGAGUCCUCCCUAGCUACUGGCAAUUUGCAGAAGAUGUCUGAAACUAUGGACCGAUUUGAACAACAGUUCGUGAACAUGGAGGUGCAGGCUGAGUUCAUGGAAAGCUCGAUGGCUGGAAGUACUUCGCUUUCGACUCCAGAAGGUGACGUUAAUAGUCUUAUGCAGCAAGUGGCGGAUGAUUACGGUCUCGAGGUGUCCGUGGGUCUGCCCCAGCCAGCUGCUCAUGCAAUUGCGACCAAAAGCGAUGAAAAGGUGGACGAGGAUGAUCUUUCGAGGCG
rnacentral:lncRNA from 1 species